rnacentral:rRNA from 1 species
GAGAUGUGGGUUAGUCCGCACGAGCGCACCUCACUUUUAGUUGCCAUCAUUAAGUUGGGCACUCUGAAAGAACUGCCAGUGAUAAGCUGGAGGAAGGUGGGGAUGACGUCAAGUCCUCAUGGCCCUUACGUGUUGGGCUACACACGUGCUACAAUGGUAUCUACAACAGGAAGCAAAACGGCAACGUUAAGCAAAUCCCGAAAAGAUACCUCAGUUCGGAUUGCACUCUGCAACUCGAGUGCAUGAAGCUGGAAUUACUAGUGAUCGUGGAUCAGCGUGCCACGGUGAAUGCGUUCCCGGGUCUUGUACACACCGCCCGUCACACCAUGGGAGUUGGUUCUACCUUAAGGCAAGGUUUUAAACCCUUGACCACGGUAUAGUCAGCGACUGGGGUGAAGUCGUAACAAGGUAGCCGUAGGGGAACCUGCGGCUGGAUUACCUCCUUUCU